UGCGAUCGAUUCUGCGGCGCCCAAGUCUGUCGUCUGCGAUCUCCCAUAGACUGACAGAAACAGGGAUAAGUUAUGCCUGUCUUAUUCUUCGUUUAUUAAUGAAACCGCUAGGGUACAAAAUACUUUACAGCUUUGAUAAUAAGCACCACUCAUUGACAAAUGCCCACAAUUCAUUGG